rnacentral:tRNA from 1 species
GUCUCGGUGGUCUAAUGGCUUAAGACGCUCGUAUGAAAUACAAGAGAUCCGGGUUCAAGAUCCGACUCAGAUA